rnacentral:rRNA from 1 species
AUAAUCGAGCCAGCGCUUAAGUGCGCGGUUUGAGAAGGACACAUUCUUUAAAUUUACACACAUUGAAGAUAUUAAUUAAUUUAUUAGUAUAAAAAACCUGAUAAACCCGAUAUAUUUUUUAUAAUUGUCAACAAGAUUUCUUUAUUGAAAACUAAACAAAUUAAAACUUUCAACAACGGAUCUCUUGGUUCUCGCGCCGAUGAAGAACGCAGCGAAAUGCGAUACGUAAUGUGAAUUGCAUAAUUCCGUGAAUCAUCGAAUCUUUGAACGCACAUUGCGCCCCAUAGUAUUCUGUGGGGCAUGCCUGUUUGAGCGUCAUUUCCUUCUCAACAAGCGAUUGUUGGUAGUGAGUGAUACUCUUGAAAAUAUUUUGAGUUAGCUUGAAAGUGAAUUAAUGAAGCGACGGAGCCUAUUUAUGGUAGGAUACGUUAAGCGAAUGAAUUAGGUUUUACCAAGUCUGUUUGUUUAAGUGUGCUAUUUUGUGGGACGCUGUCAUUGCGGAAAUUAAAGACGACACAAGUUUGACCUCAAAUCAGGUAGGAAUACCC